rnacentral:rRNA from 1 species
AUUGAACGCUGGCGGCAGGCCUAACACAUGCAAGUCGAGCGGAGCGGCGGUCGGGGGAGUAAUGCCUAGGAAUCUGCCUGGUAGUGGGGGAUAACGUCCGGAAACGGGAGCUAAUACCGCAUACUAUCAGAUGAGCCUAGGUCGGUGUAGGUAGUUGGUGGGGUAAAGGCCUACCAGGUCAACGAUCCGUAACUGGGCUGAGAGGAUGAUCAGGCACACUGGAACUGAGACACGGUCCAGACUCCUACGGGAGGCAGCAGUGGGGAAUAUUGGACAAUGGGGGAAAGCCUGAUCCAGCCAUGCCGCGUGUGUGAGGAAGGUCUUCGGAUUGUAAAGCACUUUAAGUUGGGAGGCGUUACCAACAGAAUAAGCACCGGCUAACUUCGUGCCAGCAGCCGCGGUAAUUC